rnacentral:rRNA from 1 species
AUAGCGUAUAUUAAAGUUGUUGCGGUUAAAACGCUCGUAGUUGGAUCUGCGGCCUCGGAGAACGGUCCCCCGAAAGGGUGGUCACUGUCUCUCCUAGCCUAAAUUCGAGUCGUCUCUAGGUGCUCUUUACCGGGUGCUUAGAGUGACUAGAACGUUUACUUUGAAAAAAUUAGAGUGCUUAAAGCAGGCGAAAUAGCCUGAAUAAGGUGCAUGGAAUAAUGGAAUAGGACCUCGGUUCUAUUUUGUUGGUUUUCGGAACCCGAGGUAAUGAUUAAGAGGAACAGACGGGGGCAUUCGUAUUCCGGCGCUAGAGGUGAAAUUCUUGGACCGCCGGAAGACUAACUACUG